AGCGAACGCUGGCGGCAGGCCUAACACAUGCAAGUCGAGCGGCCGUAGCAAUACGGCAGCGGCAGACGGGAGAGUAACACGUGGGAACGUACCCUUUGGUUCGGAACAACACAGGGAAACUUGUGCUAAUACCGGAUAAGCCCUUACGGGGAAAGAUUUAUCGCCAAAGGAUCGGCCCGCGUCUGAUUAGCUAGUUGGUGGGGUAACGGCCACCAAGGCGACGAUCAGUAGCUGGUCUGAGAGGAUGAUCAGCCUCACUGGGACUGAGACACGGCCCAGACUCCUACGGGAGGCAGCAGUGGGGAAUAUUGGACAAUGGGCGGCAAGCCUGAUCCAGCCAUGCCGCGUGGAUGAUGAAGGCCCUAGGGUUGUAAAGUCCUUUCGGCGGGGAAGAUAAUGAC
rnacentral:rRNA from 1 species